rnacentral:rRNA from 1 species
UACGUAGGCAGCGAGCGUUGUUCGGAGUUACUGGGCGUAAAGAGUAUGUAGGCGGUUGCGUAAGUUUGGUGUGAAAUCUCCCGGCUUAACUGGGAGGGUGCGCCGAAAACUGCGGAGCUAGAGUGUGGGAGAGGAAAGCGGAAUUCCUGGUGUAGCGGUGAAAUGCGUAGAUAUCAGGAGGAACACCGGCGGUGUAGACGGCUUUCUGGACCAUUACUGACGCUGAGAUACGAAAGCGUGGGUAGCAAACAGG